rnacentral:rRNA from 1 species
CCUACGUGUGGCAGCAGUGAGGAAUAUUGGUCAAUGGCCGUAAGGCUGAACCAGCCAAGUCGCGUGAAGGAAGAAGGCCCUAUGGUUUGUAAACUUCUUUUAUAGGGGAAUAAAGGUAUCCACGUGUGGAUAUUUGCAUGUACCCUAUGAAUAAGCAUCGGCUAACUCCGUGCCAGCAGCCGCGGUAAUACGGAGGAUGCUAGCGUUAUCCGGCUUUAUUGGGUUUAAAGGGUGCGUAGGUUGUUUGUUAAGUCAGCGGUGAAAGUUUGUGGCUCAACCCGAGAAUUGACGUUGAUACUGGAGGACUUGAGUGUGUAUGCGGUAGGCGGAAUGCGUGGUGUAGCGGUGAAAUGCAUAGAUAUCACGCAGAACACCGAUUGCGAAGGCAGCUUACUAAGCCAUAACUGACACUGAAGCACGAAAGCGUGGGGAGCAAACAGGAUUAGAUACCCUUGUAGUC